rnacentral:tRNA from 1 species
GCCGCUGUAGCUCAGCUGGCUAGAGCAGCUGAUUUGUAAUCAGCAGGUCGGGGGUUCGAGUCCCUCCAGCGGCU